GAUGAACGCUAGCGGGAGGCUUAACACAUGCAAGUCGAGGGGCAGCACGAGGUAGCAAUACUUUGGUGGCGACCGGCGCACGGGUGAGUAACGCGUAUGCAACCUACCCUGUACUGGGAGAUAACCCGGAGAAAUUCGGAUUAAUACCCCAUAAUGAUAUUUGAAGGCAUCUUUAAAUAUUUAAAGCUUCGGCGGUACGGGAUGGGCAUGCGUGACAUUAGCUAGUUGGUAAGGUAACGGCUUACCAAGGCUUCGAUGUCUAGGGGUCCUGAGAGGGUGAUCCCCCACACUGGUACUGAGACACGGACCAGACACCUACGGGUGGCAG
rnacentral:rRNA from 1 species